rnacentral:rRNA from 1 species
UACGAAGGGAGCUAGCGUUGUUCGGAAUCACUGGGCGUAAAGCGCACGUAGGCGGAUUUGUUAGUCAGGGGUGAAAUCCCGGGGCUCAACCUCGGAACUGCCUUUGAUACUGCAAAUCUCGAGUCCGGAAGAGGUGGGUGGAAUUCCUAGUGUAGAGGUGAAAUUCGUAGAUAUUAGGAAGAACACCGGUGGCGAAGGCGGCCCACUGGAUCGGCACUGACGCUGAGGUGCGAAAGCGUGGGGAGCAAACAGG